rnacentral:rRNA from 1 species
UACGAAGGGGGCAAGCGUUGUUCGGAAUUACUGGGCGUAAAGAGCGUGUAGGCGGCCCGAUAAGUCCGCCGUGAAAGUCCAGGGCUCAACCCUGGGAUGCCGGUGGAAACUGUCGGGCUAGAGUCCGGAAGAGGCGAGUGGAAUUCCUGGUGUAGCGGUGAAAUGCGCAGAUAUCAGGAGGAACACCAAUGGCGAAGGCAGCUCGCUGGGACGGUACUGACGCUGAGACGCGAAAGCGUGGGGAGCAAACAGG